rnacentral:rRNA from 1 species
GUGAGGAAUAUUGGUCAAUGGGCGCAAGCCUGAACCAGCCAUCCCGCGUGCAGGAAGACGGCGCUAUGCGUUGUAAACUGCUUUUCCAGGGAGAGAAACUUGCGCACGCGUUGCGCAAUUGACGGUACCCUGGGAAUAAGCAUCGGCUAACUCCGUGCCAGCAGCCGCGGUAAUACGGAGGAUGCGAGCGUUAUCCGGAUUCAUUGGGUUUAAAGGGUGCGUAGGCGGACUAUUAAGUCAGUGGUGAAAUCCUGCAGCUUAACUGCAGAACUGCCAUUGAUACUGAUAGCCUUGAGUUUGGUUAAGGUAGGCGGAAUGUGUAAUGUAGCGGUGAAAUGCUUAGAUAUUACACAGAACACCAAUUGCGUAGGCAGCUUACUGAGCCGACACUGACGCUGAGGCACGAAAGCGUGGGGAUCAAACAGGAUUAGAUACCCCGGUAGUCC